GUCCGCAUGUACGAUCGACGACUCCUGCCCUCGAGCGAGGUCUCCUUUCGCCGCCGCCCUUCAUCCCUUCGCCGCCGCCGCUCCACCCAGAGCCGCCCUCUUCCCCGCUGGCGCCGCCCUCUUCCCUCCCACCCCGAGCCACCGUCUUCCCCGCCCGCGCCGCUCUCUUCCCCGCCGGCGCUGCCCUCCACUCACCUUCUGUUCUUCAAGCGGGGACGCCCCAGAUCAAGUCGAGCAAGUCAGCGGGGCAGCGGCCAGAUCCUCCACGGCCACAUCUCCUUGGUGUUGUUGUCCUCAAUAGGCUAAUGACUCGAGGCAUGCUGCUAGCACAAUUACAGAAGGCCAUACAGUCAGCGGCAAAGUGCUCGCUGUCGCUAAUGAUUGAUUGCUGAGGAUCUCCAUUCGGGGAUUUAGCUACCUGCUCAAAUAAGAUGGUCAAUAGCUGUUCCUGUGAUCCAUUCUAUGGAUGAAGAAGGAGAAGACGAGUGAACAUAAUAAUUUCUGUGUCAUAUUAUUUGUUUCUGAUGUGGCUACUCUGGAAUACAAUUUAUGGGCGAGAGAUCAGACUUUCAGGACCCUGCUCUUUUAACUGAAAAACUGGGAGCACUAGCAGUUUUUCACAAGGAAAGUGGAUUGGACAAUGCCGCUAGCUUGGAUGGUGCCCCAUAUGGAUGUCGAUUGUGGGCGACGUGAGGAGGGACAAGGCAGAGAAAGGGGGUCAGGUUGGCGCCGCAUUAGAGGUGAGCGAGGGGGCCGGGGUUGCAUCGCCGCCGAGAUGCGUGAGGGGAUCGGAGCUGCGCCAAGCGGAUUCAUCAGAGCACUUCGCUCCUGCUGCCUUUGGCCUGAUGCUUAGAUGGAUUGAUUUGUCGGGUCAGGGAUCCUUCAGUUUUGUUGGAUCCGAAGUAAGAGCACCGGGACUUCAAGGACGAUGUAGAUUGUCGAAGGCUAAGUUGCAGAGUGCAUGGGCAGCAGUACCAGAGCAAGAACCUCUCGCGUGACGGAGCUGUUGUGGUAGAGAAGCAAAACUCAACGACUAACUCUACAAGCUCUGGUCACUCUCUUAAAAAUCACUAACGUAAUCAUAUCUCAGUCCAUUAUGCAAAUCUUAUUUCUGGUUUUUUGAUUCCAUUUCAGUACUUAUACCUUUUUACAAUGCGUUUAGUGCAUAUGAAUGAAGUAUAUUGAUUUAUCUUCUACCUAUGGUUUGCUGUGCUUUAUUGGUGCUCAACGUUUUUGACAUGUUGGCAUGCAUAUUACUAAAUUUGGUCAAGCAACCCGCCAACAGACACAAAGAAGGGUUAUAUGUCUUCUGAUCAUCUCGAUGGCAUAUAUGAGGACCUGCAAUACUAAACCUGGAAAUUAGUCGUUGAGGCAGUGGUCAUGGUAGUGAUAUCUACUGCCAGAACAUAAACGUUUGGCCCUCCUUUUUGCCACGAAGGAUUAUGAUCAACUGGACUUGCAGAACCAGUUAAUGGCAUGAUGCUGGCAGUAGUAAUGGAGGGCUGUGAUUUCUGGAUGGUAAAUUCUGAAUUGGAAAUGAUAUUUUCUAAUGUAUUCAUACAGUUAGAUAAUAUCAUAUUAGAUUUUCUUC